rnacentral:rRNA from 1 species
GACGAACGCUGGCGGCGUGCCUAAUACAUGCAAGUAGAACGCUGAAGGAGGAGCUUGCUUCUCUGGAUGAGUUGCGAACGGGUGAGUAACGCGUAGGUAACCUGCCUGGUAGCGGGGGAUAACUAUUGGAAACGAUAGCUAAUACCGCAUAAUAGUAGAUGUUGCAUGACAUUUGCUUAAAAGGUGCAAUUGCAUCACUACCAGAUGGACCUGCGUUGUAUUAGCUAGUUGGUGGGGUAACGGCUCACCAAGGCGACGAUACAUAGCCGACCUGAGAGGGUGAUCGGCCACACUGGGACUGAGACACGGCCCAGACUCCUACGGGAGGCAGCAGUAGGGAAUCUUCGGCAAGGGACGGAAGUCUGACCGAGCAACGCCGCGUGAGUGAAGAAGGUUUUCGGAUCGUAAAGCUCUGUUGUAAGAGAAGAACGAGUGUGAGAGUGGAAAGUUCACACUGUGACGGUAUCUUACCAGAAAGGGACGGCUAACUACGUG